GUAGUGGCUCGCGCCAAGUGAAAGCGCAGCGCGAGCCCGACCGUGCUCUUUACGCGAGUACGCGACUUGCGAGCACUCGAGAUUAUUGAAUCUCAGAAACGGUUAAAUCGAUCGAGUUUCUAAGUAAGCUCAAUCGAAAGCUUGGGGUCGAUUUAUAUUAGAAAACUAUUUUUAUUUUUUCUCUACAUGUCCUAUGAAUGGAGAUAUCGCGACGCAAAGUCCGAAAAGCCAAAAUUUCAUUUAAGAUACGUCGUCGUCAUCGUCAACCUUGUUGGUAUCUCUGCGGGUAGUGCGGGUGCCGAAAAUGAGGGACGAAAAUCCAUUUCGCUCAUCUACUACCGUGUGGCGUUCGCAUCGUCACUAUAGCACCGUAUAUGGCAAUGUAUAAGUCACGUGGUCACCAGUGGCUCGCUCGCGCCGUGAAUUAGUUGUGUGAAGAUGAUAGGUUAUAUAUGAGGUUUUAUUAUUAUUAAUCAUUGACACCAAUAUAAAUUAAUUAAUUAAUCAGAGAGUAACAUAGCUCAAUUUAUCGAUGAGGUCACAUAAGUUGCUUCGGCCACAGGUCAGCUCCUGUCAAGUGACAUGUGUAGUGGAGGUUAAAUUAUUUAUUUAAUGAUUUUAAUCAUUGACACCAAUAUAAAUUAAUUAAUUUCAGAGAGUAACAUAGCUCAGAUUUAUCGAUGAGGUAGAUGAGAUGUUGCGUGAUGUAAAAUGUGUAAUUAUUGUUGUAAUUUCAAUGAUAAUGUUGUAAGGAUAAUAAAGUAAAGAAUAAAAAUAGUAUAUUGAUUGAUUGACAAUUACAGCAACAUUUAUCCAAUACACAAUUCUUCUACAUCAUACAAUAUUUCAUCUCUCAUCGACACUAAUAUAAAAUUACAGAGCUAUUUUAUUUUUAAUUUUAACCGGUCACAUAAGUUGCUCUGGCCACAGGUCAGCUCCUGUUAAGUGACAUGUGUAGUGGAGGUUAAAUCAUUUAUUUAAUGAUUUUUAACAUCUCAUCUAUUUAAUCAUCGUUCAUUAAGAUUUUCCACUUGUGUCGAUGAAAUAAAUGAGAUUGACACAAAUGUAAAAUUAAAUAAUCAGAGAAUAACAUAGCUCAGAUUUUAUACUGGUGUUGAUGAGGUAGAUGAGAUGUUGCAUGAUGUAGAAAAUGUGUAUUAUUGCUGUAAUUGUCAAUCAUGUUAUAAGGAUAAAAACUAUCAUCAUCACCAAGGUAUUACUUUUGUCACCAAGAUACAAUUAUAUGUUACUAGUAAAGAAUAAAAUAGUAUUGUUAAAACCAUUUAUUUGAUUUGAAAUUUUGUUAGAUAAUUAAUAUUGAUUGACAAUUACAGCAACAUUUAACCAAUACACAAAUCUUCUACAUCAUACAUCUCAUUUCUCAUCGAUACUAAUGUAAAAUCAGAGAGCUAUUUUAUUUUAAUAAUCGGUUACGCAGGUUGCUCGGGCCACGGGUCAGCCCGUGUCAAGUGACAUAUGUAGUAUUGGUUAAAUCAUUUAUUUAAUGAUUUUUCAGGAAAUAUAUUAUUUAAAUUAAAUUAGUGACCAAACAUAAUUACCUUUUUAAAUAAAAAUGUAAAAAGGGCUCCAAGUGUGUGGGCUUCUUUAAGGGAAGACAGAAAUUCAAGAUAAUCGUUUUCAUCAAAUUCAACUUAGGCAUGGUUCCAAAACAUGCUCUAAAGAAAAAUUUUAUUUAAAAAUUUAUAGUAUUAUAUCCGUUAUAUAAACUUUAACUUCUUAGUAAAAUUUUUCUCAAAGAGAAAGUUUUAGAGUGUAACCUUAAGUGGUCUAUAAAACUAA
rnacentral:lncRNA from 1 species